rnacentral:rRNA from 1 species
CCUACGGGCGGCAGCAGUGGGGAAUAUUGGACAAUGGGGGGAACCCUGAUCCAGCCAUGCCGCGUGUGUGAAGAAGGCCCGCGGGUUGUAAAGCACUUUCAGUGAGGAAGAACGCCUGGUGGUUAAUACCCAUCAGGAAAGACAUCACUCACAGAAGAAGCACCGGCUAACUCCGUGCCAGCAGCCGCGGUAAUACGGAGGGUGCGAGCGUUAAUCGGAAUUACUGGGCGUAAAGCGCGCGUAGGUGGCUUGAUAAGCCGGUUGUGAAAGCCCCGGGCUCAACCUGGGAACGGCAUCCGGAACUGUCAAGCUAGAGUGCAGGAGAGGAAGGUAGAAUUCCCGGUGUAGCGGUGAAAUUCGUAGAGAUCGGGAGGAAUACCAGUGGCGAAGGCGGCCUUCUGGACUGACACUGACACUGAGGUGCGAAAGCGUGGGUAGCAAACAGGAUUAGAUACCCGUGUAGUC